AAUGAACGCUGGCGGCAGGCCUAAAACAUGCAAGUCGAACGCCUGUAGCAAUACAGGAGUGGCGCACGGGUGCGUAACACGUGGGAAUAUGCCUAUUGGUACGGAACAGCUCCGGGAAACUGGAAUUAAUACCGUAUGGUCCCUUCGGGGUAAAGAUUUAUCGCCAAUAGAUUAGCCCGCGGUGGAUUAGCUAGUUGGUAGGGUAAUGGCCUACCAAGGCGACGAUCCAUAGCUGGUCUGAGAGGACGAUCAGCCACACUGGGACUGAGACACGGCCCAGACUCCUACGGGAGGCAGCAGUUAGGAAUAUUGGACAAUGGGCGCAAGCCUGAUCCAGCCAUGCCGCGUGAGUGAUGAAGGCCUUCGGGUUGUAAAACUCUUUAGCCGAUGAAUAUAAUGACUGUAGUCGGAAAAUAAGCCCCGGCUAACUUCGUGCCAGCCGCCGCCGUAA
rnacentral:rRNA from 1 species